CUAACAAGGAUUCCCCUAGUAACGGCGAGUGAAGCGGGAAGAGCUCAAAUUUGAAAUCUGGCAGUCUUCGAUUGUCCGAGUUGUAAUCUAUAGAGGCGUUUUCCGUGCCGGACCGUGUCCAAGUCUCCUGGAAAGGAGUAUCAAAGAGGGUGAUAAUCCCGUACUUAACACGACCACCGGUGCUCUGUGAUACGUCUUCUACGAGUCGAGUUGUUUGGGAAUGCAGCUCAAAAUGGGUGGUGAAUUCCAUCUAAAGCUAAAUAUUGGCGAGAGACCGAUAGCGAACAAGUACCGUGAGGGAAAGAUGAAAAGCACUUUGGAAAGAGAGUUAAACAGUACGUGAAAUUGUUGAAAGGGAAACGAUUGAAGUCAGUCGUGUUCUUUGGAUUCAGCCAGUUCUGCUGGUCUACUUCCUUGGAACGGGUCAACAUCAGUUUUGUCCGGUGGAUAAAGGUAGUAGGAAUGUGACUUCUCCGGAAGUGUUAUAGCCUAUUAUCACAUACACUGGGUGAGACUGAGGACUGCAGCUCGCCUUUAUGGCCGGCCUUCGGGCACGUUCGAGCUUAGGAUGUUGACAUAAUGGCUUUAAA
rnacentral:rRNA from 1 species